CCUACGGGAGGCAGCAGUGGGGAAUAUUGGACAAUGGGCGAAAGCCUGAUCCAGCAAUGCCGCGUGAGUGAUGAAGGCCUUAGGGUUGUAAAGCUCUUUUACCAGGGAUGAUAAUGACAGUACCUGGAGAAUAAGCUCCGGCUAACUCCGUGCCAGCAGCCGCGGUAAUACGGAGGGAGCUAGCGUUGUUCGGAAUUACUGGGCGUAAAGCGUACGUAGGCGGUUAUUCAAGUCAGAGGUGAAAGCCCGGGGCUCAACCCCGGAACUGCCUUUGAAACUAGAUAGCUAGAAUCUUGGAGAGGUUAGUGGAAUUCCGAGUGUAGAGGUGAAAUUCGUAGAUAUUCGGAAGAACACCAGUGGCGAAGGCGACUAACUGGACAAGUAUUGACGCUGAGGUACGAAAGCGUGGGGAGCAAACAGGAUUAGAUACCCUGGUAGUCCACGCCGUAAACGAUGAUAACUAGUUGUUCGGGCACUUGGUGCCUGAGUGACGCAGCUAACGCAUUAAGUUAUCCGCCUGGGGAUACGGUCGCAAGNUUAAAACUCAAAGGAAUUGACGGNNGAGAGNGCGAGACGACGACGAGGAGAG
rnacentral:rRNA from 1 species